GACGUAUAAAAAAAAAACUACUUACUAGAUCUCGUUCAAACCAAUUUUCGGUGGAAGUUUGCAUGGUAAUGUACAUCAUAUAUUUUUUUUAAAGUUACACAUUUUACCACUUUGGAAGUGUCUCUCGCGCAAACUAUUCAGUUUAGAAAAAAAAUGAUAUUAGAAACCUCAAUAUCAAUUUUGAAGACCUAUCCAUAGAUACCCCACACGUAUAGGUUUGAUGAAAAAAAAAUUGAGUUUCAGCGAUUUAUGACGUAUUAAAAAAAAACUACUUACUAGAUCUCGUUUAAACCAAUUUUCGGUGGAAGUUUACAUGGUAAUGUACAUCAUAUAUUUUUUUUUCUUUUAUCAUUCUCUUAUUUUAGAAGUUACAGGGGGGGGGGGGGACACAUUUUACCACUUUGGGAGUGUCUCUCGCGCAAACUAUUCAGUUUAGAAAAAAAUGAUAUUAGAAACCUCAAUAUCAUUUUUGAAGACCUAUCCAUAGAUACCUCACAUGUAAGGGUUUGAUGGAAAAAAAAAUUUGAGUUUCAGUUCUAAGUAUGGGAACCCCCAAAAUUUAUUGUUUUUUUUUUCUAUUUUUGUGUGAAAAUCUUAAUGCGGUUCACAGAAUACAUCUACUUACCAAGUUUCAACAGUAUAGUUCUUAUAGUUUCGGAGAAAAGUGGCUGUGACAUACGGACGGACAGACAGACAGACAGACAGACAGACAGACAGACAGACAGACAGACAUGACGAAUCUAUAAGGGUUCCG